UGGCACAGGAUAAGCACUGUUGGUAGGC
rnacentral:piRNA from 1 species